rfam:Clostridium formicaceticum strain ATCC 27076, complete genome.
UUAAAAACGAAUAUUUUGCCGUAGACAGUAGGUGCAUUGCUUAAUAUCCUACCGAGGUUUUGUAUAAAUAAAGCCAAUAUACAACAACGAAUGAUUGUAUGUUAUAUAAAGCUUUAAAACAAAGACCUCUUUGUCUAUAGACAAGAGGUCUUUGUUUUUAGCA